CAACCUGAAAGCGUAAGAAUGCCUUGUUAGGCCCACAGAAACGGGGGAUGGAACAGGGAUGCUGAACUCUAGUAGAACUGUGAAAUGUGGUUGUCUGGGCUCCUCCUCUGCUCAAUGAUUUGGUUAGAGUCGUUAUUAGGGACAGUUAAGUCAUAUGUGACUGAUUGCAAAAAAUGGCCACAAAUGCUUCAUGGUUCUUCUCUUCAAAAGGCAGACUCUGUUUCUCCACCUCUUGAAUCUGGGCUUGACGACAUGAUUUGCCAUGGCCAAUGGGACAGGAGCAAAAACAGGCCUAAAAGCUGCUAGGACCCUUCUACUACCAUGUAAGCAAGCCUGGCUAGACCACUGGAGAGACCAUGUGCAGAGAAGCCCCAGCCAUCUCAUGAGGCCCCAGAUAUGCAGGUCCAAGACUUAGGCCAGUGCAGAGCCCUGCCUGUCCUGGAGACCACCCAGGCCGACACUUGGGAGCCAUACCUGGGAACUGUUCCCCUUCAGACUCUUCCUUCAGCUGCUCGCUCCGCCGGCUCUCUCGGGCCUCCCUCCAGCGUAGCUUCUGGAUGGAUGGAUUUCGAAGGCAUUUCCGGAUGCGGCACUUUUUUCGCUGCACAGUCUCUGGGCAGGGUGCACCUCCAAACUGAGGCUCCAUUUGGAUCAUCCGGGUUCGAAUCACGUGGCCUUUCCCACAUGACUUGUUACAUUCCGACCACUGGGACCACUCGGUGAGCUCACAGUCAAUGGCUGGCAAGACACAGAUGGGCAUGAGUGUAUCACAUGUCUGAAACAAGAUAUGGUCACACUCUCCUUUGAACAUCUCAACAAGCCUAUGAGGAAUGCAAAGCAGGUGCUGUGUCAUGCUAUUUUACAGAAGAAGAAACUGAGGCUCCAAAGAGGCAGGCUGACUUCACCCAGCCCGUGUGGUUGGUAAGCAGCAGAGGCAGGAUUGGUGCCAGGUCAUCACCCAUUCUAUGCUCCCUCUAUGACUCAAGAAGGCUUUGGAGGACUUUCAGGAUGUGUUCAGAGCCUCUUGCCCUGCUCUGUGAACUAGAAUAUUGUCAGAUCAGCCUCAAGUACAGAAUAGCCUCCCACAGUCCCAAACCCACUGGUGAUAUUUUUUAGAGCAAGGCCAACAAGCCCCCUGCUGCUCUUUGGAGAGAACAAGUCAACAAGCUAAAGGUGGCUGACCCUUGUGGACCAAUACCAAGGACAUUGUGGUUCUCACACACCCUGGCAGCUUUUCAUUCUCAACAUCAUCCUGUGUUCUAUAUAUGGUAGUCUAUGCAAAAAACACAGGAGCCAGAAAUGGGACAUUCAGUAGAGAAGAGGGUCAGGACCAAGUGGUGCUUUAUGGUUUAUUGAGAUCCAGUAAAUUCUUACUAAGCCAGCAUCUCAUAAAUGUGAAGGGAAAAUAACACAUCAGUUUGACUGUCAGGAUGUGUCCCAGGGAGGUAAAUUAUUCCAAGCUCUCUGUUGGCCUUGCAAGGCCAAAGUCAGCAAAGUCAGGGUGGACUUAGAUGUCCUCAUUUAGUUCAACAGUUUCAGUUCUUUUAUCCCGCCUGUGGAAGCUCAGGCAGCUUUCUUAUCUGCAAAAUGGGGAUCAUGGUAUUUUUUUUCAUCAGGUUGUAAGGAUUAAAUGAGAUGCUCCCAGCCCUGUAAGUGCUCCAUAAAUUUUUUCUUCUCCCUUACUUCAGUGGACCCUGUGGGUAUAAAACUUUUAAGUCAGGCACUCUAAGUCAGAAGGCUAUGGGGCCCCAACUCUGGUGAGCUGGCCUGAACCAUGGGCCAAUCUUAGUUAUUGAAAACCCCAGGCUUUCUCUAGUGGAUGGUCCAAGUUACCUCCACCCAUGGCUGAGUCUCCUAAAACAACCCAGGAGCUGGAGCGUGGAGCAGGGAUUAAGGCCUAUCCUUGCCAUGUCCAGUGCUCACACUUUGGACCAAUUACUUGGUUUCAUCCUCAGAGCAACCUAGGAAGUAUUUCCUGCUACUUUACAGAUGGAGAAACUGAGGAACAGAGGUGCUGAGUCAUUGGCUGAAGGUUACUAGCUAGGGGAGGGAGGAUGAACGACUGCAAGUGCAUGCUGGAGGGGGCCAGAGCCACAGCCAGUGUGCCUGCCCUUUCACCACCCAAAAGAGCAGCUCUUGGAAGACCAGCCAAGGAAACUGGCUCGCUCUGCUUGGAGAUUAGUCCCAUGUAAUACAAACAGCUGAUUGCAGAGAUUUUGGAAAACAGGACUGGGAGUGGAGUGGGGUGGGGUGAGCUUUGGAGAACUUGGCUUGUUUUCUUGCUGGUUUUCUUACCAGUCUGCAGGAGUCAUUGAUUGAAUGUGCAGCCUCUGGUCAUGGGGAAUUAAAAUGGUCACAGGGAGAAUAGAAUUAAAAUGCUUGGAAAAUCCAUGGGUCAGGCAAGCCCAUAAUUGUUGGGGGAGAGGAGGGAUAGAACUAAGGUUUAUUGAGCCUUGUGCUGUUUUUCAUAUGUGUCUCUCAUGUAGACUUCACAGGAACCUUAACUUUGGGUGUUUUGUAGAUGGUAGUGGGAUUCUCACUUUAUUAAUGAAAUUGACUGCAGUGUUUAAGUAACUGCAAACACUGAAAGCCAAACCCCAAACUCUUCCCCAGCAAACCGUUUUAUUCUAGGAUCUAGCAGUAUUAGCACUGGCUGGUUCAGGGCUCCCUGGACUCAGGAACAUAGAAGUGAUGGGCUUUGAGGAGCUCCAGGACUUACGGCAUUCAGGGAGCAUGCACUUCUCCACCUGCUCCAGAUCCUCAUUGCAGUCUCCAAGUUCUGCCAGAGACUUGAGCAUCCGCUGUCGGGUUCGCAUGCCCUUCCCGCAGGUCACGCUGCAGUCACUCCACUCGGACCAUGGGGACAGCAAGCAUGGGAUGGUGUCUAGAUCAAGAACCAGGUUUGCCACUGAGAACAGGUUCCUUUUGUUUUCUUUGAUCUCCCUGACCCCACAGUGUUCCACACCCAGUCCCCUGCUUUGGCCCCUGGAAUAAAGUGGAAUUGGCCCAUGGGUUCAAAUAAGAGUGAAUUCUAUGGAGCAAGAAGUGGCUCAGCAGCCUAUUGCUCUUCUUGUCACUCUCUUUCAUCUCCCCACCGAUCCCCCCCGAUGGUUAUGACAUGAGGGUAGCAAUAUGACUACAUAAGUCCCCACUGGAAAGUGGAAAGGCCACUGAGGAUCUUAGUAGGGUCUUCCCAGAGACAGAAACAUCUCACACUCACUAAGAAUCAGGCACUAAAGGAGAGGCUCAGGGAUGUAUUUUUGGACAUUGUGGUCCUGAAUUCCCUAGAAUGUGUAUGUACUUGUGUGCUUGUAUACAUCUGCAUACUAAUGUGUGGGCAGGCCCAUAUGCAUUUGUGCACAGAGCAGGGGAGGUCAUGCUUUAUGGGAUCAGCCAAGUCCAAUGUACAACAGGAGUGGGCUGGACUUGGGUAGUGUAAGUCCCGCCUAAAUGUAUUGGCCCUCCUCCCCACCACUGCAAGAAAGACACUCCUAUAAAACACAGCUGCAGGUGAAUUCUAUCCAGAGGCCACCAGUUUUCCACCCCAGCAUUGCUUAGAAUGUCCCCCAAUGGAGGUUACUCUCUCUGGGUCUAGUUGAUGUCUACACACCUAUGUCUCUCAUCUGGCUCCCAGCAAUGCCUAGCAAGGACCAUGGGCCAUGCUUUCCUCUGCUCAGCCUCCGACCUUUAUGGUGGUAAUAGUGGAUGCCAUGGCCCUCCACGCCUGUCCCCAGUGGCCUCCUCCAAACCCACCCCCGCUCUCACUCACGGCACUCUGGCAUCAUGCACUUCUCCGCCUGGGACGUCUCGGCUUUGCACAUGGAGCCAUCUGCGGGGCUCAUCUUGAUCAUGCGGUGCCGCUUCUUCAUGCCCAUGCCGCAGGUGGCGCUGCACUCGUCCCACUCGCCCCACUCCGUCAUCAGGCAGCUGCUGGGAGCUGGGGAGGCCGGCGGCAUUGGAGUCGCACCUGCUGCCUCCCCGACCUGCUUGCCCUCCCGCCCGCCCACCCGGGCCCCCCACUCACAGCACUCCUCGUUGACCGUGCACUUCUCCGUUUCCUCAGUGGGCAGCGUGCACACGGAGCCGUCCUCCGGGAACUGCUUCACAUACCUCUCCCGGGACCUCAUGCCCAUGCCGCAGGAGAUGCUGCAGGGCGACCAGGUGAUCCACUCGGACAUGGUGCAGGUGGAGCCGUCUGCAACACACCAAGUGAACGCUGCAGCAGUGCACGGUGGCAGGGGUGCCCGCCAGGCCGCGCGGUGGGAACUUCCCACCAGCCGGAAUCAAGAGGAGUCAGGCAGUUGAGGUUGUCUGCACACCUAAGAGGUCUAAAUCCUUAAACCGGCAAAGUUCUCUAAGAGGAAAUGCCUCUUUUCCAGGUGCAUGGGACACUCAGAAUUACUCCUUAUCUCAUGAAAAUACAUUUGAAAGAUGUUUGUAUGGAAAGGAUGGUGUUUAAAAAAUGUACACAUAUAUAUCUAAUAUAAUUUAAUCUACAUAUAAUUUAAGAUAAAUCAUAAUCCAUUUGUAUGAGGAACAAUCCUUCCCUGUGGAGGGGGAGGUUAAGGACCUCAGCUCCUCAGCUUAGACAGCUCCCCAGUCCCAGCCCCAAGAAGGAGGCUUCAAUGUUGACAGACCAGUCCCAGCUUUCUUCCCGCCUGUUUGUAGGAAUGACUUGUCUAUGGGAGGGUUUACUCCCCUUCAAAGUGCUUAUUGUGGGCAAAAUGAGCUAGCAAUAAACCAUCGUGAAAGU